AUGGCUCAGAACGAACGCUGGUGGCGUGUCUAUACAUGCAAGUCGAGCGAGGCAGCAAUGCCGAGCGGCGAACGGGUGAGUAACGCGUAAGCAAUCUGCCCCAUAUCAGGAAAUACCCGUGCCAACGCGCGGUUAAUGUCCAGGAGAGUGGCCCUCUGCAUGGAGGGUUGACUAGAGAUUUAUCGGUAUGGGAUGAGCUUGCGUCCGAUUAGCUAGUUGGCGGGGCAACGGCCCACCAAGGCGACGAUCGGUAGCCGGCCUGAGAGGGUGAUCGGCCACAUUGGGACUGAGAUACGGCCCAGACUCCUACGGGAGGCAGCAGUAGGGAAUAUUGCACAAUGGGGGAAACCCUGAUGCAGCAACGCCACGUGUGGGAAGAAGCAUUUCGGUGUGUAAACCACUGUCAUGAGGGAAUAAGGCCCGCUUUCGGGCGGGAUUGAAUGUACCUUGAGAGGAAGCACCGGCAAACUUCGUGCCAGCAGCCGC
rnacentral:rRNA from 1 species